CAGCCGCCACGGUAAAACGUAGGUGGCAAGCGUUGUCCGGAAUUAUUGGGCGUAAAGGGCUCGCAGGCGGUUUCUUAAGUCUGACGUGAAAACCCCCGGCUCAACCGGGGAGGGUCAUUGGAAACUGGGAAACUUGAGUGCAGAAGAGGAGAGUGGAAUUCCACGUGUAGCGGUGAAAUGCGUAGAGAUGUGGAGGAACACCAGUGGCGAAGGCGACUCUCUGGUCUGUAACUGACGCUGAGGAGCGAAAGCGUGGGGAGCGAACAGGAUUAGAUACCCGAGUAGUCCCUGUCUCUUAUAU
rnacentral:rRNA from 1 species